rnacentral:rRNA from 1 species
GUGGGGAAUCUUGCGCAAUGGGCGAAAGCCUGACGCAGCCAUGCCGCGUGAAUGAUGAAUGUCUUAGGAUUGUAAAAUUCUUUCACCGGGGACGAUAAUGACGGUACCCGGAGAAGAAGCCCCGGCUAACUUCGUGCCAGCAGCCGCGGUAAUACGAAGGGGGCUAGCGUUGCUCGGAAUUACUGGGCGUAAAGGGCGCGUAGGCGGACAGUUUAGUCAGAGGUGAAAGCCCAGGGCUCAACCUUGGAAUUGCCUUUGAUACUGGCUGUCUUGAGUACGGGAGAGGUGAGUGGAACUCCGAGUGUAGAGGUGAAAUUCGUAGAUAUUCGGAAGAACACCAGUGGCGAAGGCGACUCACUGGCCCGUUACUGACGCUGAGGCGCGAAAGCGUGGGGAGCAAACAGGAUUAGAAACCCGGGUAGUCC